rnacentral:lncRNA from 13 species
GCUGCUGCUCCUCCUGCUCCUCCUGCUCCUGCUCCUGCUCCUCCUCCUCCUCCCCACGUCCCUCCUCCCCACAUCCCUCCUCCUGCUGCUUCUCUUCUUCUUCCUCCUCCUCCUCUUCCUCUUCUUUCUCCUCUUCUUCUUCCUCCUCUUCCUCCUUCUCUUCUUCCUCCUCCUCAUCCUCAUCCUUGUCCUCCUCUUCUUCCUCCUCCUCCUCUUCCUCCUCCUCCCUCCUCCUCCUCUUCCUCUUCUUCCUCUUCCUCCUCCUCUUCUGCCUCCUCCUCCUCCUCUUCCUCCUCUUUCUCCUCCUCAUCCUCAUCCUUGUCCUCCUCUUCUUCCUCCUCUUCUUCCUUCUCCUUCUCCUCCUCCUCCUUCUCCUUUCUCCUCCUCCUCCUUUUUCUCCUCCUCCUCCUCCUUUUUCUCCUCCUUCUCCUCCUCCUCCUUCUCCUCCUCAUCUUCUUCCUCCUUCUCCUCCUCCUCUUCAUUCUCCUCCUCCUCUUCGUCCUCCUCCUCAUCCUUCUUCUCCUUCUCCUCUUCCUCCUGCUCCUAUUCUUCCUCUUCCUCCUCCUCGUUGUCCUCCUCCUCAUCGUCGUCGUCCUCAUCAUCGUCUUCCUCUUCCUCCUCCUCUUCCCCCUUCUCCUCCUCUUUCUGUUUUUCCUCUUACUCUUCUUUGGCUGAAUAGUAUUCCAUUGUAUGUGUAUACCACAUUUAUCCCUUUAUCCUUCAGAGGACAUUUAGGUUUUUUCUACAUCUUGUUUAUAGGGCUGUAAUGAACAUUCGGGUGGUACUAAUAUCUCUUUGGGAUCCUGAUUUUAUUUCUUUUGAGAAAUACCCAGAAGUGGGAUUGCUGUAUAAUAUGGUAAUUCUACUUUUAAUUUUUUGAGGAAUAUCCUUACUGUUUUCCAUAGCAGAUAUGCCAUUUUGCAUUCCUGCCAACAUUAUAUAGGAUUCCACUUUCUUCACAUCCUCACCAACUCUUGGUAACUGUUGAUUUUUUGAUAGUACCCAUCCUAGUUGUGAAGUGAUAUCUCAUUGUGGCUUUGAUUCACAUUUUCCAUAUGC